rnacentral:lncRNA from 1 species
AGCCCGAAUUAGAUCACUGGGGUUCAAGAAAUUUCGUUGCUUGAGAAAUUAAACGUAUCUGUAUACAUACAUCGUAUAUACAAAUACAUGGAGAGAAUUUGAAGAGAGUUGGAGAACUUGAUAGCUGCUUCGUCAAAUAGUUGCAAGUACUCGAUGGGUUUGGCGAAAAGAAGAUGAGGAAGUGGUGGAUGGGCGUCCAUCAACUUUGUAAAAUUGAGAAAAGAAUACAGAGUGAGAGCAUUGUGUUUAUGAGAGAGAGAGAGAGAGAGAGAGAGAGAGAGAGGGAAUAUACUCAUACAUAGAGAGCAUGGUGAAGGCAGGGUCAGGUACUCAAACUGUUAUAGCCCAAACCAUUAUUUGUAUGUUUUCUUGAAAGGUUCGUUUCCGAAAAUUUGCUUGGAAACCAAACAAGUUUUCAAUAAACAGAAAACAGAAAACUAAACAAAACAAGGGAAUUAGUAUUUUACUCGAUGAAUACACCUAAUCGCAAAGAGAAAUAUACUUGCAGCGGUUGGUUUGGUGUUUCUGGUAAUAGGUCGAGGAUAUGGAUAUGUGAAAGAAACUCAUCCCAAAGUCAAUUCAGUUUUGUAAACAAUAGUAAAAAAAAAAAAGAGAUGAAAAAAAUUAGAAUAUCAUAAUUUCUCAAACCAGAAACUAAACAAAACAAGGGAAUGAGUAUUGUACUCAAUGAAUACACCUUAUCGCAAGAAGAAGUACUUUCAGUAGUUUUAUGUUUCUGAUAAUCGAUAGAGGAUAUGUGAAAGAAACAGAUCCCAAAGUCAAUCCAGUUUUGUAAACAAUAGCCAAAACAGAAGAAAAAAAUCAGAAUCUCCAAAUUUCUCAAACUAGAAACUAAACAAAAAAAUGGAAUCAGUAUUUUAAUACACCUAAUCGCAAGAAGAAAUACUUACAGUGGUUUGAUGUUUCUGGUAAUUGAUCGAGGAUACGUGAGAGAAACAGAUCCCAAAGUCAAUACAAAGAACCUUCAACAUUAUCAACAUUAGUUUCUUGCAUUAUCUUACAGACCAAAAAUGACGAAUUGAAGGGAAAUUGAAAAAAGAAGAUGAAAGAAUGUGAGUACCUCCAAAUAUUUGUGCGCAUUGGAAUUUGGCGAUUUGCACUCUCUCUCUCUAAACCCUAAUGUACAGAGGGAGCAUUACCAUCCCCUCUCCGUCUCUCUCGCAUGCUCCCUUUCGCCCUCUCUCUCUCACACGUUCCGCCCUCCCACUCUGUCUCUCUGCCUCACCCACUGGAAACGCUAAUCGGCUGAUGUGUAUAAUGUAUAUAUAAAUAGCCACACGGCACAUACGUCCAACAAACAAAAGAUUUAUUUUUAUACUUCCCCUUUUCCAAUUCCAAACAAACAGCUCUCUCC